GGGAGGCAGCAGUGGGGAAUAUUGCACAAUGGGCGCAAGCCUGAUGCAGCCAUGCCGCGUGUAUGAAGAAGGCCUUCGGGUUGUAAAGUACUUUCAGCAGUGAGGAAGGUGGUGUCGUUAAUAGCGGCAUCAUUUGACGUUAGCUGCAGAAGAAGCACCGGCUAACUCCGUGCCAGCAGCCGCGGUAAUACGGAGGGUGCGAGCGUUAAUCGGAAUUACUGGGCGUAAAGCGCAUGCAGGUGGUUUGUUAAGUCAGAUGUGAAAGCCCGGGGCUCAACCUCGGAAUUGCAUUUGAAACUGGCAGACUAGAGUACUGUAGAGGGGGUAGAAUUUCAGGUGUAGCGGUGAAAAUGCGUAGAGAUCUGAAGGAAUACCGGUGGCGAAGGCGGCCCCCUGGACAGAUACUGACACUCAGAUGCGAAAGCGUGGGGAGCAAACAGGAUUAGAUACCCUGGUAG
rnacentral:rRNA from 1 species